rnacentral:rRNA from 1 species
UACAGAGGGUGCGAGCGUUAAUCGGAAUUACUGGGCGUAAAGCGUGCGUAGACGGCUAUCUAAGUCGGGUGUGAAAGCCCCGGGCUCAACCUGGGAAUUGCAUUCGAGACUGAAUAGCUAGGGUACGGUAGAGGGAAGUGGAAUUUCCGGUGUAGCGGUGAAAUGCGUGGAUAUCGGAAGGAACAUCAGUGGCGAAAGCGACUUCCUGGACCAGUACCGACGUUCAGGCACGAAAGCGUGGGGAGCAAACAGG